rnacentral:lncRNA from 1 species
AGCAAUGUAUUGUAAAAUAAUCUCAAAUUUGCUUGCUUUUGUUUUCAAGUUUUGGAUAAGUUUGACAGAUAGUUGUUGUUGUUGUUGUUUGCAACUAACCUAAUUCUGCAAUGAAAAUUAAACCUUAAAUAUACCAAAAUUUGAAAACCAAAUGAAACAUUUAUGAUCACUAAUGACAGUUCUAAGUAAAAUGAGUUGUUCAAGCACUUUUUUUUUUUUUUUUGGAUCUUAACCACGAGGUAUCUUGGGGAGAGCCUCAACUGUAGGAGGCACAUUUAAGCAUGUACCACAACCCAGAUUAGAAGUCUCCGCUCGAAUCGGAAGGCAUAUGUUCUCCCAACAAAGGCGACUUCCCUACGACUCGAAUUGGAAAGCAAGCUCAGUCAAGCCACUUAAGGGGAUUUCAUUACAAGUGGAGCCAACAGGUUCAAGCACUUUAAUUAAUACAUAAUUAUACAGGGAGUUUAUUAUGCAUUAACAGCCAGUUUUAGUUCCCUAACUAUAAGUUAGCAUUUAAUGCAUUGUAGUUUCACUCUCUCUUUCUUCAGCGACGCGACAGAAUUUAUGCGGAUAAUAGAAUCGGAGAACCGAUUACCGGGCAGGUCAUAUCAUGCCAUCGCUCUGCAAAACGAAGUUAAUGUAUAUAAAAUGAUCGAAAGCUUUUGUACUGUUUCUGCAUGAAAUUGUUAAGAGUAUAAUAAAUACUAUUGUUGAGCCGUUACCUAUAAGCUUAAGCUUUUGGUUGAGGUAGAGACUUUUGUCAUCACUAGAAACAAUUGUCUUUUGCCAACUUUAUCUGACUAAUUUCUGAGAAAGCAUUUUACCAACUUCAGUUCUAACUGUCUAAAUAAGCAACAUUUUCUUCCUCUCUUAGCAACUCCUGCAGAAUAGACAAAAAAGCCAUUUUAUCUUCCUUUUUAGUAAUUCCUGCAGUAUAGACAAAAAGCCAGUGUGUUAAUUAAAAGCCAGUGUAAUUCCUGCCACCUAUUCUUUAGCUUGUCAGCUAUAAAUAGCUGUGAUUGCUGCAUAAAUUUGACCGUUCAGUGUUCUUGAGUUGUUGAAGCCAUUGUAUUCGGGUACUUGAAGCUUUUCUUUGUGUUUGAUUUAAUUUUUGUUCUACUGAUGUAUAUUAUUUCAAGUUACUAGUUUAUAAUUUUCUUCCCAGGCUUACUCAUAUGAUUCAUGUAAUUUCUUGGUACCUUAUACCCUUCUUGAAUCCAAGUUUGGAAUUCUUUGAUCGGUUUCUUCAAAUACUGAAUUCACUUCCCCACUUUAUGCUUAUUAAUCUUUUGACUUCUAACACUCUUUAACUCUUUUUUCAGCUGAGGGAAAUAUGGGAUCAGAGAAGUGUGCCAUUGCAAACGAUAUAACCGAAGUAAAAUGCCUUCAUCUAAUUCUGAUUUUUCAUUUUUUCCUUUCAUAUGCUCUGAGAUUUUCUCAUUUUGUUGCAUAUUUUAUUAUCAGUUGAUUGGCAAUACCCCAAUGGUUUACCUCAACAAUAUUGUGGAUGGUUGCAAGGCACGUAUUGCUGCUAAGCUAGAGAUGAUGGAACCCUGUUCUAGUGUCAAAGACAGGUAAUACUUGAAACCUAUCCUUAAUCUUCUGUUGAUCUUUCUUUUUGGCACAUCUUAGUAGUAAUUGAUAUUGAAUAUUAUCUUUGUACUAAUUUUCAUUUUUGUUAUUUCUCCAAAUUUUUUGGGUUCACUUCAUACAAGUUGGCUUCAAUCACUGAUAUGCAGGAUUGCAUUUAGUAUGAUCAAAGAUGCUGAAGAGAAGGGCCUUAUCACACCAGGGAAGGUUGUUAACUUUCCUUUUUUCUUCUAUCAAGAAAAUAUCAACAUAAGUCUCUUUAAGAGUUAUUGUGAUUUGUAAGCAUACUGGAAUGAAAAUGAACUGGGAAGUAGUUUUGGGAUUAAUCAAUUUUCCACGUGAAUGAAUAAAGACUGUCCUCAUUGAAUGUACAAGUGGAAAUACCGGCAUAGGGAUGGCAUGCUUUGCAGCAGCUAAGGGUUACAAGCUCAUUCUUGUCAUGCCUGCUUUCAUGAGCCUUGAGAAGAGAAUAAUUCUCCAAGCAUAUGGAGCUCAGUUGAUUCUCACAAAUGCAGAGAUGGGUAUUGAUGAGGAAUUUCGUAUUGUUGAAGAGUUACUGAAUAAGAUACCUACCAGUUUUAAUCCCCACCAAUUCAAAAAUCCUGCCAAUCCAAAGGUAUGUAUGCUUUGCUUGGCCAUAAGGCUACUGAUAAAAUAUACUAAUCAGCGGUUUAUGCAGACUCAUUAUGAAACUACUGGCCCGGAAAUCUGGGAAGGCACAAGAGGGCAAGUUGAUAUUUUUGUUUCUGGAAUAGGGACUGGGGGUACAGUAUCUGGUGUUGGCAAUUUCCUUAAAAAGAAAAAUCCGGAGAUCAAGGUAGUAUUAUUUAUGCUUGAGUUUUGAAAUAGUUGAAUUACCUUUUCUUGUGUAAGCAACUGUUCCUGAUUUUUAGUUCUUUCUUUUUGUUUUGAUUUUUGUUCUGCCUUAAGGUUUAUGGCGUUGAACCGGCUGAAAGUGCAAUUCUGAAUGGUGGAAAGGCUGGUGAGUUCUGAAAACUCAUUUCAUUCAAUUUUUUGGAAAUGUUAUAUUGCACUAUUGCAGCAUCAAUAAUAUGCUAAGGUCUUGGUCUUCCUGUAUGCAUGGCAGCAUCAAUGUGCCGCAGCAACUUCAGUUCAAAACUGAUUUUAACAUACUGUAAUGUGGUUAUAGGUCAUCAUAAGAUUCAAGGAAUCGGCAUUGGGUUUGUCCCCAGUGUUUUAGAUGUCAGCAUUCUUGAUGAAGUUGUUCGAGUAAGCUUCCGAACCCUUGUAAAUUGACUUGCUCGUUAAGAAAAGUACAUUUGGAAGAAUAAGUGUUUGUUCACAUAUAGUAAUUCUGAUUCUGAUAAAAAAUUUCCCAUUUCUGACAUAAUAACAGCAUUGUGCCCGCCCAUUUUCUUCUAUGUAUUUUUUCAUGCUUUUUUCUACUUAGCCUUUCAGACUGAUAAUCUUUCAUAUCUUUAAGGUAACAAGCAAUGAAGCCAUUCAAACAGCUAAGCUUCUUGGUGCAAAAGAAGGUUUGCUGGUAUGUGCAAUCUUCCAGGCAUUUCUAGUACUUUCUCCCUCUGUAAAAUCACCAUUAGGAAAAAAUUGAGGAAAUAAAUUACUUUCCGAGUACGUAAGCUUAAAUAUAUGUUCUGCUGUGACAUAGGCUUAUGAUGGCAUCUAAUUGUUGAUGAUGUUUGUGUUUAUAAAUAUUGCAGGUAGGGAUAUCAUCUGGUGCUGCAGCAGCUGCUGCAAUUAAGAUAGCCAAAAGGGCUGAAAAUGCUGGAAAACUCAUUGUCGUAAGCUCAUUCAAAUUCUUUGAGCUGGUUGCAUUCAUUUUCAUUUCAUAUUGCCUACUUAACAUGUUUGACAUGUUCAUUUGGACAGCCACUGAAUUUGACGCAUAGAAAGCAUAAAUUUAGCUGUUAUAUAAUCCUUAUAUCAACUAACAUUUUCUUAAUCAACUUUGCAACAUGAUUUAACAAGCCCUUAUCAUGCCACUCCAAACUUCAGCAUUGUUGAGAUAAACAUCAUUGACUCAGUUCAACAACUGCUUCUCUCAAUCAUUGCAGGUGAUCUUUCCGAGCUCAGGAGAGCGGUAUCUGUCAUCUGAGAUGUUUGAUGCUGAGAGGCAGGCAGCUGAAAACAUGGCUUAUGUCUCAAAUAUUGCCUAAUGUUUGAGUUUCAGACCUCAAGUGGAACCAAUAUGCUCUCAAAAUAAAGUUAUGCUCCUGAGUUGUAAUAGUAGUUGCAGUGAAAAAGAGGAUGUGUUUGCUUCUGCUUUUGUAAUUCUAAUGCACAAUUGACAAUUUGGUUGGUUCCAUUUAAUGUGAUGCAUUUCUUGAACUAUUUUAAUCAAAUCAGUAAAUUUGACCGAUAGCUACAGCUUGCUAAUUUUCAGUACCAUCAAACAUAUUUUAAAAUAAUUAAAGACACUUUUAUACUGGUUUUGUAGUGUUUACAAGACAAGAAAAAUAAAAAAGAUUUUACCAGGUCCAAAAAACCACCUGCAGUUAUUGUAGAAAAGCACUUUUUUUAGUAUAAAAAUACUUGGAAGUGCUUUCCAAAAAAGGAUCACAUGUUUCACAAAAAAAUGCUUCUGCAGAAGUGUUUUUGUUUAACUUGAAAAAGCCUAUUGAUACAAGCAUUCGCAGACAUACCACGGCUGGGAUUUAAAAUGGGCCUGGGUCGGAUUGGCAACUCCAAGGACGGGCUCAACUUUGGCGGACGGGGCCGAGCCUGAGCCCACAAAACUGCUUCCUCUCCAUCACACGUGGCACGGCAAGUGACAAAUUUCUCUCACAACAGAUCUCCCUCUCGCCCGCACAGGGCUCAACAUUCCAUUUCCAUUUCCGUUUCUUACCCAAACACGCACGGAUCUAAGAGAGCUUCGGAAUAUGGCUUUAAUGGCCGUAUUAGAAUCCGAUCUUCGAGCUCUCUCAGCUGAAGCUCGCCGUCGCUAUCCCGCCGUCAAGGACGGAGCUGAGCACGCGAUCUUGAAGGUCGCAAUUCUCACUUGUUUUGUGAUGUAGCCCAGUUUACCACGCCCACAAAUCACAAUCUUGACUGACUGUGCCCAUUGUAGGUAGUUUCUACCAUUUAAUUUGUGGGCUGUAAUAUGAAGAGAUGCAUCGCUUCCGGAAAGAGAAGCAAUUGGGAUGGAACUAGGCUCAGCCAUAGAUUGGCUAGAUGUUGAAGAUCCGGUAUUGUCACCAGAUGAGAUGUCGAGAGAGCGUUAUCUAUCCACAGCAUUGUUUGAAUCCAUUAGAAAUGAAGUGCAAAAUAUGUCCAUUGAUUAAGACGUCACAAAGUUUAGGAAGCAGCUGCCUGAAUUUAGGACAAACAUCCCUGUAUUUUCCACACGAGCCAGCCUAUGUUCGCCUAUCCAUUAUCCGACCGUAUUUUAGUUCUUCUGAAGUUGUGACGGUUAGAUUCUAGAGAAUGGAACUAAGCCUUCAACAGAAGAAGAUUCAAUGUAUUCUGUAUGUACAAUUGCAAUUUAGAUAAUCAAUCUGUUAAUGAAGCAAUGUAUUGUAAAAUAAUCUCAAAUUUGCUUGCUUUUGUUUUCAAGUUUUGGAUAAGUUUGACAGAUAGUUGUUGUUGUUGUUGUUUGCAACUAACCUAAUUCUGCAAUGAAAAUUAAACCUUAAAUAUACCAAAAUUUGAAAACCAAAUGAAACAUUUAUGAUCACUAAUGACAGUUCUAAGUAAAAUGAGUUGUUCAAGCACUUUUUUUUUUUUUUUUGGAUCUUAACCACGAGGUAUCUUGGGGAGAGCCUCAACUGUAGGAGGCACAUUUAAGCAUGUACC